rnacentral:tRNA from 1 species
UGUGGUGUGGCCUAGUGGAUAGAGCACUGGACUGGGACUCAGGAGACCUGGGUUCUAUUCCUAGCUCUGUUA